rnacentral:rRNA from 1 species
UACGUAGGGGGCGAGCGUUGUCCGGAAUUAUUGGGCGUAAAGAGCUCGUAGGCGGUUUGUCGCGUCUGUCGUGAAAGCUUGGGGCUUAACCCCAAGUCUGCGGUGGAUACGGGCGGACUAGAGGCAGGUAGGGGAGAACGGAAUUCCCGGUGUAGUGGUGAAAUGCGUAGAGAUCGGGAGGAACACCUGUGGCGAAGGCGGCCGACUGGGCCGACCCUGACGCUGAGGCGCGAAGGCGUGGGGAGCGAACGGG